rnacentral:rRNA from 1 species
AUUGAACGCUGGCGGCAGGCCUAACACAUGCAAGUCGAACGAGUGGCGGACGGGUGAGUAAUGUCUGGGAAACUGCCUGAUGGAGGGGGAUAACUACUGGAAACGGUAGCUAAUACCGCAUACCAUCGGAUGUGCCCAGAUGGGAUUAGCUAGUAGGUGGGGUAAAGGCUCACCUAGGCGACGAUCCCUAGCUGGUGUGAGAGGAUGACCAGCCACACUGGGACUGAGACACGGGCCAGACUCCUACGUGAGGCAGCAGUGGGGAAUAUUGCACAAUGGGCGCAAGCCUGAUGAAGCCAUGCCGCGUGUAUGAAGAAGGCCUUAGGGUUGUAAAGUACUUUCAGCGGGGAGGCGUUACCCGCAGAAGAAGCACCGGCUAACUCCGUGCCAGCAGCCGCGGUAAUAC